rnacentral:rRNA from 1 species
AGGACGAACGCUGGCGGCGUGCUUAACACAUGCAAGUCGAGCGGAAAGGCCCUUCGGGGUACUCGAGCGGCGAACGGGUGAGUAACACGUGAGUAAUCUGCCCCUAGCUCUGGGAUAGCUCCGGGAAACCGGGAUUAAUACCAGAUACGACCACUUUAGACAUCUGUUGUGGUGGAAAGAAUUUUGGCUAGGGAUGAGCUCGCGGCCUAUCAGCUUGUUGGUGAGGUAACGGCUCACCAAGGCGACGACGGGUAGCCGGCCUGAGAGGGCGACCGGCCACACUGGGACUGAGACACGGCCCAGACUCCUACGGGAGGCAGCAGUGGGGAAUAUUGCGCAAUGGGCGAAAGCCUGACGCAGCGACGCCGCGUGGGGGAUGAAGGCCUUCGGGUUGUAAACCCCUUUCAGCAGGGACGAAGCGAAAGUGACGGUACCUGCAGAGAAGCGCCGGCUAACUACGUGCCAGCAGCCGC